rnacentral:tRNA from 1 species
GCCCCGGUGGCGGAACUGGUAGACGCAACGGACUUAAAAUCCGUCACCCGCGAGGGUGUACAGGUUCGAUUCCUGUCCGGGGCACCA